rnacentral:rRNA from 1 species
UAGGGAAUAUUGGGCAAUGGACGCAAGUCUGACCCAGCCAUGCCGCGUGCAGGAUGAAGGCGCUCAGCGUUGUAAACUGCUUUUACUGGUGAAGAAAGUUCAUUCUGCGGGAUGAUUUGACGGUAUCCAGGGAAUAAGCACCGGCUAACUCCGUGCCAGCAGCCGCGGUAAUACGGAGGGUGCAAGCGUUGUCCGGAUUUAUUGGGUUUAAAGGGUGCGUAGGUGGUCAUUUAAGUCUGAUUUGAAAGCAGGCGGCUUAACCGUCUGAUGUGGUUGGAAACUGAAUGACUUGAAUGGGUUGGCGGUAGCCGGAAUGGGUCAUGUAGCGGUGAAAUGCAUAGAUAUGACCCGGAACACCGAUUGCGAAGGCAGGCUACUACGACUUGAUUGACACUGAGGCACGAGAGCAUGGGUAGCGAACAG